rnacentral:rRNA from 1 species
AGGAGGCUCUUUUGGUUAAUACCCAAGAUGAGUGGACGUUACUCGCAGAAUAAGCACCGGGCUAACUCUGUGCCAGCAGCCGCGGUAAUACAGAGGGUGCAAGCGUUAAUCGGAUUUACUGGGCGUAAAGCGCGCGUAGGCGGCCAAUUAAGUCAAAUGUGAAAUCCCCGAGCUUAACUUGGGAAUUGCAUUCGAUACUGGUUGGCUAGAGUGUGGGAGAGGAUGGUAGAAUUCCAGGUGUAGCGGUGAAAUGCGUAGAGAUCUGGAGGAAUACCGAUGGCGAAGGCAGCCAUCUGGCCUAACACUGACGCUGAGGUGCGAAAGCAUGGGGAGCAAACAGGAUUAGAUACCCUGGUAGUCCAUGCCGUAAACGAUGUCUACUAGCCGUUGGGGCCUUUGAGGCUUUAGUGGCGCAGCUAACGCGAUAAGUAGACCGCCUGGGGAGUACGGUCGCAAGACUAAAACUCAAAUGAAUUGACGGGGGCCCGCACAAGCGGUGGAGCAUGUGGUUUAAUUCGAUGCAACGCGAAGAACCUUACCUGGCCUUGACAUAGUAGAAACUUUCCAGAGAUGGAUUGGUGCCUUCGGGAAUCUACAUACAGGUGCUGCAUGGCUGUCGUCAGCUCGUGUCGUGAGAUGUUGGGUUAAGUCCCGCAACGAGCGCAACCCUUUUCCUUACUUGCCAGCAUUUCGGAUGGGAACUUUAAGGAUACUGCCAGUGACAAACUGGAGGAAGGCGGGGACGACGUCAAGUCAUCAUGGCCCUUACGGCCAGGGCUACACACGUGCUACAAUGGUCGGUACAAAGGGUUGCUACCUAGCGAUAGGAUGCUAAUCUCAAAAAGCCGAUCGUAGUCCGGAUUGGAGUCUGCAACUCGACUCCAUGAAGUCGGAAUCGCUAGUAAUCGCGGAUCAGAAUGCCGCGGUGAAUACGUUCCCGGGCCUUGUACACACCGCCCGUCACACCAUGGGAGUUUGUUGCACCAGAAGUAGCUAGCCUAACUGCAAAGAGGGCGUACCGG